rnacentral:rRNA from 1 species
GGAUGAACGCUAGCUGGAGGCUUAAUACAUGCAAGUCGAGCGGGAUUGGUAGCAAUACCAUGAGAGCGGCGCACGGGUGAGUAACGCGUACACGACCUACCUCUGACAGGGGGAUAGCCCUGGGAAACUGGGAUUAAUACCGCAUAUUAUUCUGAUUAAUAAAGGAUUAGAAUGAAAGUUCAGGCGGUCAGAGAUGGGUGUGCGUCUGAUUAGCUAGUUGGUAGGGUAAUGGCCUACCAAGGCGAUGAUCAGUAGGGGGCGUGAGAGCGUGAUCCCCCACACGGGUACCGAGACACGGACCCGACUCCUACGGGAGGCAGCAGUAAGGAAUAUUGGACAAUGGCCGCAAGGCUGAUCCAGCCAUCCAGCGUGCAGGAAGAAGGCCCUAUGGGUUGUAAACUGCUUUUAUCAGGGAAGAAACCUGUGGAUUUACUCCGCAGCUGACGGUACCUGAAGAAUAAGCACCGGCUAACUCCGUGCCAGCAGCCGCGGUAAUACGGAGGGUGCGAGCGUUAUCCGGAAUUACUGGGUUUAAAGGGUGCGUAGGCGGCUUUGUAAGUCAGGAGUGAAAGUUUGCGGCUCAACCGUAAAAUUGCUUCUGAUACUGCAUGGCUAGAAUUUGGUUGCUGUGGGUGGAAUGUGUGGUGUAGCGGUGAAAUGCUUAGAUAUCACACAGAAUAUCGAUUGCGAAGGCAGCUCACAAAGCCAAGAUUGACGCUGAGGCACGAAAGUGUGGGGAUCAAACAGGAUUAGAUACCCUGGUAGUCCACACUGUAAACGAUGAUAACUCACUGCCGGCGAUACACAGUCGGUGGCCAAGCGAAAGCGAUAAGUUAUCCACCUGGGGAGUACGACCGCAAGGUUGAAACUCAAAGGAAUUGACGGGUCCCCGCACAAGCAGCGGAGCGUGUGGUUUAAUUCGAUGAUACACGAAGAACCUUACCAGGGUUUGACAUACAGGUGGUAGAGAAGCGAAAGUGGAACGACCCUUCGGGGAGCCUGAACAGGUGCUGCAUGGCUGUCGUCAGCUCGUGUCGUGAGAUGUUCGGUUAAGUCCGCUAACGAGCGCAACCCUUGUUGUGUGUUACACGUAUCACACGAGACCGCCGGUAGAAAGCCGGAGGAAGGUAGGGAUGACGUCAAGUCCUCAUGGCCCUUACGGGUAGGGCUACACACGUGCUACAAUGGUGGUGACAGAGGGCAGCGAGGCAGUGAUGCCAAGCUAAUCCCAAAAAGCCAUCUCAGUUCAGAUUGCACUCUGCAACUCGGGUGCAUGAAGUUGGAAUCGCUAGUAAUCGCUAAUCAGCAGGUAGCGGUGAAUACGUUCCCGGGCCU